rnacentral:rRNA from 1 species
AUGAUCAUUUGUGAAUUGUUGGACAGGGAGAGAGACGGACCUGCGGGCUCAAGAAUCCAUCGUUCUGAAGAGACAACGGCCGACGGGCUGCCGGUGGCGGCCGAGGAGCACCUUAACGACAGGAUGCUGCUUCUUCUUCUAGUGCUGCUCUUUUCGGCGGCUGACAACCAUGGUGCAGCGAGGGGAAGCUGCUGUGUGGCGGAGCACGUGAUGCGAGGCGACGCCGUGGAGAGGCGGAGGAAGGUAGCCGCCGUUGAUCUCCUCGGGCUGGAAAACGACAGCAGGACAGAGGAACUAGCCGCUGCUGCCGCUGCCUCCAUUUGCGACGGGCAGCAGUUAAGCGGAUAA